GGGGAUUUAGCUCAGUGGCAUAAGCGCCUGCCUGGCAAGCAUGAGGUCCUGAGUUCGAGCCCUGGUAGCCCCC
rnacentral:tRNA from 1 species